ACGUCCAAGUAAGUCAAAACCCGUAUAUCCGGGAGCUUUGAUUGGUGACUCGACGGUGACAAGAUGUUGCACCGUAAGAGUGCUUUGGAGAUAUUUCGAAUGGCAGUUUAUGUAUUUUUUCCGAUUGGAGUCUUCUACACAGCCACUCAUCCGGACAUGUUCUUGCAGCGACAAGUAGAGAAAGAGAGGAAAGAAUAUGCGGCUGAAUACUAUGAAACAAAUGUGGAAAGGUUAAAAAACUUGGCACAGUUGAAGAAAGAUGUCAGCAACAGGUCACAAAAAUGAAGAAUGGAAAUUGAACAAUAAUGGUCAGAAGCACCCUAUAACUUGUACGAUACUACUAUCAAGAGUUCAUGACAUUGGUGUGUAUACUAAAUAGUUUUAUUAAUAAUGUGAACCUCA